rnacentral:rRNA from 1 species
AGCGAACGCUAGCGGCGGGCCUAACACAUGCAAGUCGAGCGGGGGAGCAAUCCCCACGCGGCGGGACGGGUGGAGUAACACGUAGGUUAUGUGCCCUUUGGUUGGGGGAAGUAAACCGUGGGAAACCAAUGGCUAAUUCCGCAUAUCGAGCGAAAUCUUGAAAGCCUUCGGGCGCCAAAGGAGCAACCUGCGGCCCAUUAGCUUGUUGGUAGGGUAACGGCCUACCAAGGCGAUGAUGGGUAGCUGGUCUGAGAGGAUGAUCAGCCACACUGGAACUGAGACACGGUCCAGACUCCUACGGGAGGCAGCAGUGGGGAAUAUUGCGCAAUGGGCGAAAGCCUGACGCAGCCACGCCGCGUGAGUGAUGAAGGCCUUCGGGUCGGUAAACUACUGUCGGGAGGGACGAAGGGG